AGUGAACGCUGGCGGCAGGCCUAACACAUGCAAGUCGAACGGCAGAAGAGUACUUGCUUCUUGUUUCGGGUGGCGAGUGGUGGGUAAUUGCGAAGAAUCUGGCUAUUUAUUUUUUAUAAGGGGAGAACACGGGGGCUAAUACCCCAUUAGUCCUUACGAACAAAGGGUGAAAUCUGGGGACCUCACGCUCUCGCGUGAUCCGAUGUGGGAUUAGCUAGUUGGCGGGGUAAAGGCCUACCAAGGCGACGAUCCGUAGCUGGUCUGAGAGGAUGAUCAGUCACACUGGAACUGAGACACGGUCCAGACUCCUACGGGAGGCAGCAGUGGGGAAUAUUGGACAAUGGGCGCAAGCCUGAUCCAGCCAUGCCGCGUGGGUGAAGAAGGUCUUCGGAUUGUAAAGCCCUUUAAUUUGGGAAGAAAAGCAGCAAGUUAAUACCCCGCUGUUCUGACGUUACCCAAAGAAUAAGCACCGGCUAACUUCGUG
rnacentral:rRNA from 1 species